rnacentral:rRNA from 1 species
UCCGUAGGCGGGCAAUUAAGUCAGAGGUGAAAUCCCACAGCUCAACUGUGGAACUGCCUUUGAUACUGGUUGUCUUGAGUUACAGUGGAGUAGAUAGAAUAUGUAGUGUAGCGGUGAAAUGCAUAGAUAUUACAUAGAAUACCGAUUGCGAAGGCAGUCUACUAACUGUAUACUGACGCUAAUGGACGAAAGCGUGGGGAGCGAACAGGAUUAGAUACCCUGGUAGUCC